UACGGGGGGGGCAAGCGUUGUUCGGAAUUACUGGGCGUAAAGGGCUCGUAGGCGGCCAACUAAGUCGGACGUGAAAUCCCUCGGCUUAACCGGGGAACUGCGUCCGAUACUGGAUGGCUUGAGUUCGGGAGAGGGAUGCGGAAUUCCAGGUGUAGCGGUGAAAUGCGUAGAUAUCAGGAGGAACACCGGUGGCGAAGGCGGAUCUCUGGGCCUUGCCUGACGCUGAGGCGCGAAAGCUAGGGGAGCGAACAGG
rnacentral:rRNA from 1 species